UACGUAGGGUGCAAGCGUUGUCCGGAAUUAUUGGGCGUAAAGAGCUCGUAGGCGGUCUGUCGCGUCUGGUGUGAAAACUCAGGGCUUAACCCUGAGCUUGCAUCGGGUACGGGCAGACUAGAGUGCGGUAGGGGAGACUGGAAUUCCUGGUGUAGCGGUGAAAUGCGCAGAUAUCAGGAGGAACACCGGUGGCGAAGGCGGGUCUCUGGGCCGUAACUGACGCUGAGGUGCGAAAGCGUGGGGGAGCAAACAGG
rnacentral:rRNA from 1 species